CAGGACGAACGCUGGCGGCGUGCCUAACACAUGCAAGUCGAGCGAGGAGAGUCCCUCGGGGAUGAACCUAGCGGCGGACGGGUGAGUAACACGUGGGCAACCUGCCUUAUAGAGGGGAAUAGCCUUCCGAAAGGAAGAUUAAUACCGCAUAACAUUACAUUUUCGCAUGAAGAAGUAAUUAAAGGAGUAAUCCGCUAUAAGAUGGGCCCGCGGCGCAUUAGCUAGUUGGUGAGGUAACGGUUCACCAAGGCGACGAUGCGUAGCCGACCUGAGAGGGUGAUCGGCCACAUUGGGACUGAGACACGGCCCAGACUCCUACGGGAGGCAGCAGUGGGGAAUAUUGCACAAUGGGGGAAACCCUGAUGCCAGCAACGCCGCGUGAGUGAUGAAGGUCUUCGGAUCGUAAAGCUCUGUCUUCAGGGACGAUAAUGACGGUACCUGAGGAGGAAGCCACGGCUAACUACGUGCCAGCCGCCGC
rnacentral:rRNA from 1 species